rnacentral:rRNA from 1 species
AGCGGACGAGAUUGAAGCUUGCUUCAGUCCAAGUUAGCGGCGGACGGGUGAGUAACACGUAGGAAUCUGCCUUCAGGCGGGGGACAACGGAACGAAAGUUGCGCUAAUACCCCAUAUGCGAGUAAUCGUAAAAGGAGCAAUCCACCGGAAGAUGAGCCUGCGUCCGAUUAGCUAGUUGGUAGGGUAAGAGCCUACCAAGGCUACGAUCGGUAGUUGGUCUGAGAGGAUGAUCAGCCACAAUGGAACUGAGACACGGUCCAUACUCCUACGGGAGGCAGCAGUGGGGAAUUUUACGCAAUGGGCGAAAGCCUGACGUAGCGACACCGCGUGAGCGAAGAAGCCUUUUGGGGUGUAAAGCUCUGUCAGCUGGAACGAACACAAUGACGGUACCAGCAGAGGAAGCAUCGGCUAACUACGUGCCAGCAGCCGCGGUAAGACGUAGGAUGCAAGCGUUGUCCGGAUUUAUUGGGCGUAAAGAGUUCGUAGGCGGUUAGUUAAGUCUGGUGUUAAAUCCCGUGGCCCAACCACGGAGCUGCAUCAGAUACUGGCUGACUCCAGUGCGGUAGAGGCGAGUGGAAUUCCCAGUGUAGCGGUGAAAUGCGUAGAUAUUGGGAAGAACACCAGUGGCGUAAGCGACUCGCUGGGCCGUAACUG